GGAUCUUUAGCUCAAAUGGUAGAGCACUUGAGAGUGCAACCUAGCUAGUACAUCUCAAGAGAUGGUGGUUCAAAUCCACCAAGAUCGU
rnacentral:tRNA from 1 species